rnacentral:piRNA from 1 species
UAGUUCAUGAACGGAUCUGUGUUCCUCCAA